rnacentral:misc_RNA from 1 species
UCACCAUAUCAAGCAUGGCUUGUUGUUGGGCCCUUUGUCACCGGGUGACAGGUCCGAAAGACAAUGACCGGUGUCAUCCAGACCCCCGAUGCGACGAGCUUAUCACAGCAUGCAUCUGGUGGUUGUGUGGCCCGCUGGAAGCCUCUGGCACCCCCUCUUUCUCCA